GCGGGUGUAGCUCAGUCGGUUAGAGCGCCAGAUUGUGGCUCUGGAGGUCG
rfam:Thalassospira sp. MCCC 1A01428 contig95, whole genome shotgun sequence.